rnacentral:tRNA from 1 species
GUGGAUAUAGCUCAGUUGGUUAGAGCGCCUGACUGUGGCUCAGGAGGUCGGGGGUUCAAAUCCCCUUAUCCACC